CGGAAGCAGGCUCCAGGCUCUGAGCCGUCAGCCCAGAGCCCAACACAGGGCUCAAACUCACGGACUGCGAGAUCGUGACCUGAGCUGAAGUCAGACGCUUAACCGACUGAGCCACCCAGGCGCCCCAACUGACUAUUGAUCUCAGGGUUGUGAGUUCAAGCCCCACAGUGGGUGUGGAGCCUACUUUAAAAAUAAUAAUAAAAAUACAGUAAAACCUUGGUUUGCAAGCAUAAUUCAUUCUGGAAACAUGCUUGUAAUCCAAGUACUUGUCUAUCAAAGCGAAUUUCCCAAUAAGAAAUAAUGGAAACUCAGAUGAUUCGUUCCACAACCCAAAAAUAUUCAUAUAAAAUGAUUACAAUACUGUAAUAUAGAAAUAAGGAAAAUAGAAAAUAGUAAGAAAAAUAAAUUAACCUGCACUUGCCUUUGAAAACCUUUGUGGCUGGUGUGAGGGAGACGAGAGAGGAGGGUUAUUGUGUAGGCCAGCUUUCACUAUCACUAAUGGAAUCACUGCUCUCUAUGAAUCUUUUUCUUUUUUGUGCAACUUUUUCUUUUUGUAGAACUUACCAGGGAACCUAUCCAAUGACACUUGCUUUGGCCUCCUUUUGAGGAUUUCGCAGAAAUGUGACAUUGCAUUGUCGUUAAACAGAUUCAUUGCUCGCACUGCUACAGACUUAUACGGGUGGUGCUUUUCUACAAGAUUUUGCGCUGUUUCCCACAUUUCACACAUCUCCCUGAUCUCGUUUGAAGUGAGGGAUUCCUCUACCUUUUUCUCCUCCUCCUCUGCAGACGACAUCUCCAUUGGUUUGUUGGUGGCCAGCUCCUGCCUAUCUUCCUCCACCAGCUCUUGAAUGUCGUUCUCAUUCACCUCCAGUCCCAUGGUCUUCCCCAAAGACACAAUUUCAUUGACAACAGGUGGCUCGUGUUCAUGGCAAGCCCCUCUAAGAAGGCAAGAACACAAUCAGGCCACAGUUUUCUCAGAAAACAGAAUUGAGGAUUCUCUUUCUUGGUAACCCCAUCCCAGGCUUCAUUGAUGAUCUUGAGGCAGUUCGUGAUGUGGAAAUGAUUUUUCCAAAACUCUUGGAAGGGCCGAAGACCUUGUUGAUCCACUCAACGAACAAGAUAUAAGUGACCCAAGCCUUGCUGUUGGACCUCCACAGACCGUUUAACUGGCUCUUCUGCACCUUGCAUUUCCUGAAGGCUCAUGGAUUCUUGGAAUGAUACACGAGCAGGGGUUUGACUUUGAAAUCCCUGCUUGCCUUAGCACAAACAGGAGGGUAACAUUCAGAAACCAUGAGCUUCUGGAACUUGAUAGCGAGCGCCUCAGCUGCCUUAGCGUCCAAACUCACACCCUCUCAGUGCCUCACAACACUACGGAUGCCACUUCUCUUAAAGUUAUCAAACCAUCCCCUGCUUGCCUUGAAGCCUUCUUCGUUUUCUGUUGACGCACCUGGCAGUUUAUUUACGAGGUCAGCACACAAGGCCUUUGCCUUCUCACAGGUAAAGUUCUCGGUCACAGUAUCACCUCCUAGUUGCUUCUCCUUUAUCCAAACCAGAAGCAACUUUGCUACGUCUUCCAGAACACCUGGCCAUUGCUUUGAUAUUCUCAUGACUCCUUUUGCUGUAUCUAGGCCCCUUAUUUCUUCUCUUCUUUAAUAUUGUGCAAAUGGUCGACAUAGAUGUCUUAUAAAAUCUUGCAGUUUUGGCCACUUGCAUAAC